UACAUGUGGGGCAAGCGUUGUUCGGAAUUACUGGGCAUAAAGGGUGCGUAGGCGGCUUGUUAAGUCAGGGGUGAAAGUUUUCGGCCCAACCGGAAAAUUGCCUUUGAUACUGGCGAGCUUGAGUGCGUGAGGGGUAACCGGAACGAGUGGUGUAGCGGUGAAAUGCGUAGAUAUCGCUUGGAACGCCGAAGGUGAAAACAGACUGCUGGGGUUGCGCCGACGCUGAGACACGAAAGCCAGGGGAGCAAACGGG
rnacentral:rRNA from 1 species